CCCAUCUGGAAAAGCCCCAGGCUGGGAGGACCCAUCUGGAACGGGCCCCAGUAGAAGGUCCUGCCCUCAGUCCUCCGGCCAGCCUGAAUGGAGCCUUCCUCUCUGUCCUGGCUUUGCCCAGGAGUUAGAAGUUCAGAGCUGAGGCCAUACAUGAAAGUCACAAAACUGUUUUUGGUAGAAGGUUAAAGUUCUGUACAGUAUAUAUAUGAAUGUAAAAAGAUAUAUAUAUAUGCUGUAUAUAUAUAUAUAUGCACAGUGUAUAUAUGACCUGUAGCCCAUGUGUACACGCACCCCUCCCCGCACGUCUGCACACAGAGUGUACAUUACCCAGCCAGUGUGGGUGGGGACCAGGUGAGCGGCGGGGGCUGCAGCUGCAGAGUCUGGGAUGGAGGCUGCUUGUGGCAGGGGCUGUGAAGAGCCCUGUGGGGGACGGGAAGGGCCCAUGCACGUCAGAGCUGCAGAACCUGAGGAGCAAGGGAGAACCGAGGGGCUGGUGGAUAGGCCUCCUGAGGACGACAGGAGUGGUCCAAGGGCCUUGUCUGCAUCUGAGAGGCUCUGAGGAUUCUCGGGCCUCUGUCUGGGGGGCAGUGUCGUACAGUACUGGGCUCCUGAACCAAUAUGACAGCUGCAGUCCCAAGGCAGUUAGCAGGGAGCUGGAAGGGCUGGGAAAGAGGGGGCCACUCGCUGGACCAGCUCUCAAUACCUGUCUGCCCAGCCUCCAGGGAUGCUCCACCUGGAAUACCCUAGAAGGCUGGAGUAUGGCAGAGGCCAUUGUCUCACAUUCUCAACCAUACACAAAGACAACCCAGCUCCCAGCUAAGAAAAACUCUUUCAGGAGAACGGCCCCCUGGGUAUUGCCAGCAUGCCAGUCCAAUAUCCCAGCCCCUGUCUUCUAGAACAGACUUCAAAUCACCCCGCAGCAUCUCUAUUUUACAGAUCAAAACUCUGAGGCCUCCAGAUGUAAGAAAACAGCUGUGGACCCAGCAAUUCCAGCCAUGAGUUUGUCCCACCCCAGACAAUCUCCCCAGCCCCAUUUGACCGCAAGGUCAGCUGUCAGGGAGUGACAGGGGAGCCAGAGAUGUGAGCAGAGCAGUGACAGGAGGUGAAAGAGGGGAAGCCCAGAAGGCAGUCUGAGCACAACCUCGUGCCAUCUGUCUGCCCCCUCUCCCCUGCCACACCUCCCCUGCAGGGCAGUUGGCAUAGAGCCUGGCCCCGCCCCUGCGGUACCUGCAGACCUCCGUCCCUACCACACUCGGAUCCGUCUGUUCUUUCCCUUCUAACCCUUCAGCGAGUGGUUCGGCUCCAUCACCGGCGAGAGCAUCUCUGGACCACGUGGGAAAGGGUCUGGAGUGGGCUUCCGUGUGGUCAGCGGUCUGCCCUCUGCUUCAGCCCCAUGCGUCAGACUGGUCUGCACUUAACUCUGGGUCUGCCUCUGUUUGGGGUCCUGACCGGAGCAUACCAGAACCCAGCCUCCUGAGGAUGGGCCUGUCCUGACUCCAGGACAGGAACAAGAGGCUCCAGGGGCCCCCUUGCCACUGUGCUCCAAGCCCCCAGCUCACCUCUGCCUGGGCCAGCUUCCUGGCUGUGCCUCCCACGAUGGGGACUUGGGUUCCCAGCCCCUUGGUGAAGCCCCAAAACAGCACCAAUGUGAGACCCCUGGCCUGUCCCACCACCCAGACCAGAGUGCCUGGACGCCCUCCCAAUCCCACUAAACAUAGUUCCCACACACUGGUCUCUGGGCCAUUCAGGGGAUGCCCUUUGUGGACAUGCAGAAUUUCUAUGAAUAUAGUUUUUUGUAAACAUUUUGUAACAAUUUGGGUUUCAUAGUAACUGUGUUACUUGCCAAUCAUUCUAGGCUGAUGUAAAUAAAUUUCCAAACAAAUCUGAUUAUUUUCCUUUUUAAGACACUGUGAUAUAUCAAAGUGCACAGUUUGCUGUAUGAAGUAAUAUGGUUUUAAAUUUUAAAUAAAGAAAUGUUUCUAGAAAACAGGGCCCUCUUCA
ensembl:lncRNA